rnacentral:rRNA from 1 species
AUUGAACGCUGGCGGCAUGCCUUACACAUGCAAGUCGAACGGCAGCAUGGAAGAGCUUGCUCUUCUGAUGGCGAGUGGCGAACGGGUGAGUAAAGCAUCGGAACGUACCGUGUAGUGGGGGAUAACGUAGCGAAAGUUACGCUAAUACCGCAUACGCACUGAGGAGGAAAGCAGGGGAUCGCAAGACCUUGCGCUAUACGAGCGGCAGAUGUCAGAUUAGCUAGUUGGUAGGGUAAAGGCCUACCAAGGCGACGAUCUGUAGCGGGUCUGAGAGGAUGAUCCGCCACACUGGGACUGAGACACGGCCCAGACUCCUACGGGAGGCAGCAGUGGGGAAUUUUGGACAAUGGGCGAAAGCCUGAUCCAGCCAUGCCGCGUGAGUGAAGAAGGCCUUCGGGUUGUAAAGCUCUUUCGCCUGGGAAGAAAUCGCACAGGCUAAUACUCUGUGUGGAUGACGGUACCAGCACAAGAAGCACCGGCUAACUACGUGCCAGCCGCCGCGGUAA